rnacentral:tRNA from 1 species
GCGGGCGUAGUUUAGUGGUAGAACAACAGCCUUCCAAGCUGUAAGCGUGAGUUCGAUUCUCAUCGCCCGCUCCA